rnacentral:rRNA from 1 species
UACGGAGGGUGCGAGCGUUACCCGGAAUCACUGGGCGUAAAGGGCGUGUAGGCGGGACCAUAAGUCUGACUUCAAAGGCAAUGGCUCAACCGUUGUAAGGGGUUGGAUACUGUGGUUCUAGACCUCUGGAGAGGCAACUGGAAUUCUUGGUGUAGCGGUGGAAUGCGUAGAUACCAAGAGGAACACCGAUGGCGAAGGCAGGUUGCUGGACAGAAGGUGACGCUGAGGCGCGAAAGUGUGGGGAGCGAACCGG